UGGUAUACUCGGUUUUAUUUACCGUGAAGAAAACGUAAUCGCUUACAACUACUUCUAAGUGAAGUAGCUGAAAUGGGGAACAGCUUUUCCGACACAGUCCAGCACUUUGGCCAUGCUAUGCAAUAUCGCUAUUCUCAUGAAGAUUUAAUUGGAAGGGGAUCGUUUGGCGCUGUUUACAAAGCCAGAGUUACGAAGCGGUGCCGUUAUACAGGCGAAAAUUUUGUAGCAGUCAAAGUGAUACAAAUCUGUGCCUCUUCCGAAAACGUUGCCGACUACGAAAGUUUAAUAGCAACAUUGAGAACAUUGAGGAGACUCACUGAACUUCACCACGAGAAUCUCGUAGCGUAUCAUAAAGUGUCCAUCACAAGAUCGUCCGCCGGAGCCACAGUCGAACUAGCAAUGGACUGCCAUAUAGGGGAUCUGGCUAAGCUGCUGAGGGAAGCCAAGCAGAAGACAGAAAUCUUCAGUAGUUAUAAAAAGGUGGAAAAAUUUGUAAUCUACUUGGCUCGGGGAUUGGAUUGCCUGCAUCGCAACGGCAUUAUUCAUGGAGAUCUGAAACCGGAAAACGUUCUGGUAAAAGUAUCCGCAAAUGGUCGCCAAAAGCUGUUGAUCAGUGAUUUAGAUGAUAUAGUUCAGAUUGAAGGGAACGCAACUUCUUCGGCAGACAUUUCGCAGUUGUGCGGCACACCACGCUACAUGUCGCCAGAGAUGCUGAGAAAAUUUUCCCAAAUGGCGACUGAAGCGCCAGGACGGAAAGGGGAUAUGUGGAGCUUGGGCUGCAUCAUUCUUGAUCUGGUCGAGAGCGUGGGACGUGUAUUUAAGAAGCGACUUAUAAAGGAUGGGGACAUUAUAAUUUAUAAGUGCUGAAAUUCAGCUCGCCGAUUACCAGUACGCCACACUGAUAAUAAACGGCUACGCUCCGUUUGUGGACGGCGACGUUGAUGGAGACCUGGCCGGCAUCAUUCGCCAGUGUUUGAAUGUAAUCAGCACAAGUCGGUUAUCCGCCGGGGAACUGCUGCAGAAGUUGCAGAAAAAGGAGGUCAUAAUAUUUUUCGCUUCUGACAGCUUCGCUUUACGAGAUUUUUUAAUAAUUGACCCUCUAACUGGUUCUGUAAGCGUUCAAGACACGCCGAGUAAUGUGAAGAUCUCACGCGACUCGCGGUGGUUUGGCUAUCAACAGUUCUCUGUAACGGAAAGAAAAAUUCUGUUCACGGAAGAGAUACGUGACAUCGACGACAAGUGGAAGUUCCGUGUUUGUAUCUGGAGUUUUGGCGAAGGAGCAUGGCAUGAACGAGAGACAAUUUUGGCCUUAGACGUACGGAUACAUCCUGAAACAAGCUUUGUCGCGGUACAGAACAAAGUUUAUUUCUGGGACAUGAACAAAAUGUUAACGGAAAUAAGCAUCUCUACUGGCAGGGUUACGUCUCUGAAGCAUAUUCCGUGGAGAUCCUACGAAUUUGUACAAGCAGUGGCAAAAUACGAUCUGCAGAUAAUUUAUGCUACACCACCGGUCCUGUGGCAGUUUGAUACGGUAACAAAAAGUUGGAAAUCCUACCCUAAGAUGCCAACACGACGCUUGGAUUUUGCAAUGGCUGUGGUCAACGAUUACGUAUACAUUAUGGGGGGAUACGUUAACAAAAACUCGGAAAGGGUUGCAGUAGCCGACUGUAUUCGUCUGAAAGCUGGAACGGCUACAUGGGACGUGAUUGAACCACUACAUCAACCCAGACUAAAGCAUUCAGCAUGCGUUAUUAAAGACCGAAUAUAUGUCUGCGGCGGCCAGCACGCCGGAAAAGACCACGCACUGACGAUAGAAUUUUUCGAUACUAAACGCAAUGCAGCAUGGUCGACCGUCACCUUAUCCGGAGAGGAUGUCAAUGUCUUAUCGGACUGGGCAGCUGGAAUCCCAUGGUCUCGGGAAAGAAUAACUGCCGCCACCUUCUAUCAUCCUUGACAGCGGCGUCUGCCGACUAGACCAAUCUUUCCCUGUUAGACGGACUAUUGAACAACGGUGCGUACAAUAAUGUUUCCAUUGCAACAUCUCUAAACUCUU